GGAUCCGUAGCUCAGUUGGAUAGAGCGCUGCCCUCCGAAGGCAGAGGUCGCGCGUUCGAAUCGCGCCGGGUCCACCA
rnacentral:tRNA from 1 species